GGUCUCGAGACAUUAGAGGAAGAAUUCGAUCGAGCCCGGUGGAGCGGGCGGGGGACCGCGCGACGGGGCUCGUUUCCCCCCCGCGAAGGCAACCCCUCAGCCCCUCCACUUCUGCCCGGUCGCGCCGCGAAGCUGGCGAUUUCCGACACCCAACUCCCUGCGUACACAUCCCUGUUGCUUCCCCGGGGCUGGUCCCCGGGGGAGGGCCUCGAGCAAACCAUGCCGCCCAACCUCGGCCCCCACCCUGUCUGAUGGCGAGCGCGCCACAGGAGAAGUAACGAGCGACGAGAGCGAAAACAAAACUUUCAACAACGGAUCUCUUGGUUCCCGCAUCGAUGAAGAACGCAGCGAAAUGCGAUAAGUAAUGUGAAUUGCAGAAUUAAGUGAAUCAUCGAAUCUUUGAACGCACAUUGCGCCCCCUGGCAUUCCGGGGGGCAUGCCUGUUCGAGCGUCUCUUGGACUAACCCUCGCGCUGGCGCGAUGCGCGGUAGUGGCUGCGGUGGCGUGCCCGCUCUCGAGGCGGCCACCUAGCCGGAAUCCAUUGGCGGACGCCUGCAGCGUGGCCGAGCGUGAUACGACUCACUGGCGCCCGCGCGCUGCGAGGCCGACGACCCGGGCCCGACCGUCGGGCGGGGCCGAGCACCACUUUGGGAACUCCUCGAAUCAGGUAGGGAUACCCGCUGAACUUAAGCAUAUCAUAAAGCCGGAGGAAAACCCCCCCCCC
rnacentral:rRNA from 1 species